CCCUUAGAUGUUCUGGGCCGCACGCGCGCUACACUGAUGCAUUCAACAAGCCUAGCCUUGACCGAGAGGUCCGGGUAAUCUUUGAAACUGCAUCGUGAUGGGGCUAGAUUAUUGCAAUUAUUAAUCUUCAACGAGGAAUGCCUAGUAAGCGUGAUUCAUCAAAUCGCGUUGAUUACGUCCCUGCCCUUUGGACACACCGCCCGUCGCUCCUACCGAUUGAAUGUGUUGGUGAGGAGCUCGGAUUGGCAGCAGUUGGUGGUUCGCCACCGGCUAUUGCUGAGAAGUCCUCCAAACCGCCCCAUUUAGAGGAAGGAGAAGUCGUAACA
rnacentral:rRNA from 1 species